rnacentral:rRNA from 1 species
CCUACGGGGGGCAGCAGUGAGGAAUAUUGGUCAAUGGGCGCGAGCCUGAACCAGCCAAGCCGCGUGAAGGAUGACUGCCCUACGGGUUGUAAACUUCUUUUAUAAAGGAAUAAAGUGAGGCACGUGUGCCUUUUUGUAUGUACUUUAUGAAUAAGGAUCGGCUAACUCCGUGCCAGCAGCCGCGGUAAUACGGAGGAUCCGAGCGUUAUCCGGAUUUAUUGGGUUUAAAGGGAGCGUAGAUGGUUUGUUAAGUCAGUUGUGAAAGUUGGGGGCUCAACCGUAAAAUUGCAAUUGAUACUGGUAGUCUAGAGUACAGGUGAGGUAGGCGGAAUUCGUGGUGUAGCGGUGAAAUGCUUAGAUAGCACGAAGAACUCCGAUGGCGAAGGCAGCUUACUAAACUGCCACUGACAUUGAGGCGCGAAAGUGUGGGGAUCAAACAGGAUUAGAUACCCCGGUAGUC